rnacentral:rRNA from 1 species
GAGUUUGAUCAUGGCUCAGGAUGAACGCUGGCGGCAUGCCUAAGACAUGCAAGUCGAACGAAGUGGCCCAAUGAAGUUUGCGUGCUUGCACAAAAAUGGAUUUGGAUUCCCACUUAGUGGCGCAAGGGUGAGUAACACGUGGGUUAUCUACCCUCGAGACUGGAAUAACAGUUAGAAAUGAUUGCUAAUGCCGGAUGAUAUAUAGAAAGAUACGUCUUUCUAUAUUAAAAGGAGCCUUUAAAGCUUCACUUGAGGAUGAGCCUGCGCUGUAUUAGCUUGUUGGU